rnacentral:rRNA from 1 species
GACGAACGCUGGCGGCGCGCCUAAAACAUGCAAGUCGAACGAGAAGCCCGGGCUUGCCCGGGUGGACAGUGGCGAACGGGUGAGUAACACGUGAGGACCCUGCCCCGAAGACCGGGACAACACCGGGAAACCGGUGCUAAUACCGGAUGCCUUCACCGGAUCGCAUGGUCUGGUGAAGAAAUGGAUUCCGCUUCGGGAUGGCCUCGCGGCCUAUCAGCUUGUUGGUGUGGUAAUGGCUCACCAAGGCGACGACGGGUAGCUGGUCUGAGAGGAUGUCCAGCCACACUGGGACUGAGACACGGCCCAGACUCCUACGGGAGGCAGCAGUUAGGAAUCUUGCGCAAUGGGCGAAAGCCUGACGCAGCGACGCCGCGUGCGGGAUGAAGGCCUUCGGGUUGUAAACCGCUUUCAGCAGGGACGAAAUUGACGGUACCUGCAGAAGAAGCCCCGGCCAACUACGUGCCAGCAGCCGCCGUAA